rnacentral:rRNA from 1 species
AAUAGAUACCCGGGUAGUCCACGCCGUAAACGAUGAGUGCUAAGUGUUAGGGGGUUUCCGCCCCUUAGUGCUGCAGCUAACGCAUUAAGCACUCCGCCUGGGGAGUACGGUCGCAAGACUGAAACUCAAAGGAAUUGACGGGGGCCCGCACAAGCGGUGGAGCAUGUGGUUUAAUUCGAAGCAACGCGAAGAACCUUACCAGGUCUUGACAUCCUCUGACAAUCCUAGAGAUAGGACGUCCCCUUCGGGGGCAGAGUGACAGGUGGUGCAUGGUUGUCGUCAGCUCGUGUCGUGAGAUGUUGGGUUAAGUCCCGCAACGAGCGCAACCCUUGAUCUUAGUUGCCAGCAUUCAGUUGGGCACUCUAAGGUGACUGCCGGUGACAAACCGGAGGAAGGUGGGGAUGACGUCAAAUCAUCAUGCCCCUUAUGACCUGGGCUACACACGUGCUACAAUGGACAGAACAAAGGGCAGCGAAACCGCGAGGUUAAGCCAAUCCCACAAAUCUGUUCUCAGUUCGGAUCGCAGUCUG